GCAUCUAAUUGCAUAGGAUUACAUGUAAAUCUCGUAGAUUCCUCACACCUUUGAUCUAUGAAGGAAUCGAGUGGAUCUGCUUGUCCUCGCUUCCGUUCUGCUGGGUUGAAUUCUUGCCUGCUGCUAUGGUCCAGCCGCCCUGGAUAAAAAGGUCAAAUUCAACCUUGACAUAGUAAGCAAAUUCGAAAAAACUGGAGAAUUAGAACAGAAGCCAUGGAACAGAAUUAGAACUGAAGAAAAUCGAGAGUUCUCUGUUCUUUUUUGUUCAGCACGGCAACAAGUUGCUAAUAAAAAUUCUUGCUGGAUGAAAACUUGUACUUGAUGUGUUGGAAGAAAGACUUUGUAUUUGAUGUAAUACUGGAUGAAAAGUUGUUGUAUUUGA